GAUGAACGCUAGCGACAGGCUUAACACAUGCAAGUCGAGGGGCAGCAUAAAAGUAGCAAUACUUUGGUGGCGACCGGCGCACGGGUGAGUAACGCGUAUGCAACCUACCUAUCAGAGGGGAAUAACCCGGCGAAAGUCGGACUAAUACCGCAUAAAACAGGGGCACCGCAUGGUGAUAUUUGUUAAAGAAAUUCGCUGAUAGAUGGGCAUGCGUUCCAUUAGGUAGUUGGUGAGGUAACGGCUCACCAAGCCGACGAUGGAUAGGGGGAACUGAGAGGUUGGUCCCCCACACUGGUACUGAGACACGGACCAGACUCCUACGGGAGGCAGCAGUGAGGAAUAUUGGUCAAUGGGCGGGAGCCUGAACCAGCCAAGUCGCGUGAAGGAAGAAGGAUCUAUGGUUCGUAAACUUCUUUUGCAGGGGAAUAAAGUGCAGGACGUGUCCUGUUUUGUAUGUACCCUGAGAAUAAGGAUCGGCUAACUCCGUGCCAGCAGCCGCGGUAAA
rnacentral:rRNA from 1 species